AUCACACAUGCCUUUCUUUAUGCCUAAAGUGCAUAUUUUACAAGAAAUAGCAAACAUACCUUGGUCUUUACAUUUGGGGGAUAGUUUUCUUUAAAUUAUACAUCAAAUAUUUUCCCCCACACUUACCCUUUCAUUACAACUCAACCUUUUCUUUUUGGUGCACAGCUCUUUUAAAAACUUGGCAUAUCAAGGUACCUGUUUAAUUACAU
rnacentral:lncRNA from 1 species